CAUGGCUCAGGACGAACGCUGGCGGCGUGCCUAAUACAUGCAAGUCGAACGCUUCUUUUCCCACCGGAGCUUGCUCCACCGGGAAAAGAGGAGUGGCGAACGGGUGAGUAACACGUGGGUAACCUGCCCAUCAGAAGGGGAUAACACUUGGAAACAGGUGCUAAUACCGUAUAACAAUCGAAACCGCAUGGUUUCGUUUUGAAAGGCGCUUUACGGUGCCGCUGAUGGAUGGACCCGCGGUGCAUUAGCUAGUUGGUGAGGUAACGGCUCACCAAGGCCACGAUGCAUAGCCGACCUGAGAGGGUGAUCGGCCACAUUGGGACUGAGACACGGCCCAAACUCCUACGGGAGGCAGCAGUAGGGAAUCUUCGGCAAUGGACGAAAGUCUGACCGAGCAACGCCGCGUGAGUGAAGAAGGUUUUCGGAUCGUAAAACUCUGUUGUUAGAGAAGAACAAGGGUGAGAGUAACUGUUCACCCCUUGACGGUAUCUAACCAGAAAGCCACGGCUAACUACGUGCCAGCAGCCGCGGUAAUACGUAGGUGGCAAGCGUUGUCCGGAUUUAUUGGGCGUAAAGCGAGCGCAGGCGGUUUCUUAAGUCUGAUGUGAAAGCCCCCGGCUCAACCGGGGAGGGUCAUUGGAAACUGGGAGACUUGAGUGCAGAAGAGGAGAGUGGAAUUCCAUGUGUAGCGGUGAAAUGCGUAGAUAUAUGGAGGAACACCAGUGGCGAAGGCGGCUCUCUGGUCUGUAACUGACGCUGAGGCUCGAAAGCGUGGGGAGCAAACAGGAUUAGAUACCCUGGUAGUCCACGCCGUAAACGAUGAGUGCUAAGUGUUGGAGGGUUUCCGCCCUUCAGUGCUGCAGCUAACGCAUUAAGCACUCCGCCUGGGGAGUACGACCGCAAGGUUGAAACUCAAAGGAAUUGACGGGGGCCCGCACAAGCGGUGGAGCAUGUGGUUUAAUUCGAAGCAACGCGAAGAACCUUACCAGGUCUUGACAUCCUUUGACCACUCUAGAGAUAGAGCUUCCCCUUCGGGGGCAAAGUGACAGGUGGUGCAUGGUUGUCGUCAGCUCGUGUCGUGAGAUGUUGGGUUAAGUCCCGCAACGAGCGCAACCCUUAUUGUUAGUUGCCAUCAUUUAGUUGGGCACUCUAGCAAGACUGCCGGUGACAAACCGGAGGAAGGUGGGGAUGACGUCAAAUCAUCAUGCCCCUUAUGACCUGGGCUACACACGUGCUACAAUGGGAAGUACAACGAGUCGCGAAGUCGCGAGGCUAAGCUAAUCUCUUAAAGCUUCUCUCAGUUCGGAUUGUAGGCUGCAACUCGCCUACAUGAAGCCGGAAUCGCUAGUAAUCGCGGAUCAGCACGCCGCGGUGAAUACGUUCCCGGGCCUUGUACACACCGCCCGUCACACCACGAGAGUUUGUAACACCCGAAGUCGGUGAGGUAACCUUUUUGGAGCCAGCCGCCUAAGGUGGGAUAGAUGAUUGGGGUGAAGUCGUAACA
rnacentral:rRNA from 1 species